UAGUAAUGUAUUUUCGUACUCUGCACGCGUGUACUGCUAUAGUAGUUAUGUCGCCACGAGGAGAUAGCCGCCGGGGCUGAGGUCGAUACGCCAGUAUGCUUUUCAUCUUUUCGGAGGUAAACCGUAUCUCGGUUUCAAGAAAGGUCCACCGUGGAGACGAACCUAGUCCCGAGUCUGUAAAAGGACAUUUCUAUUCAUAAUACGAGUCCUACCGUAUGUAUCUUAAUUAUUUCUGUUCGAGUCCAUUACUAUUUCGUCGAUUACUUUUGCUUUUUUUUCAAACUCUGUUAUUUUCUGUUUUGAAAAUAUUAUUCCUCUAUUGUUAUGCGGUUCGGACAUGAUUGUCAGUACAUCAAUCGAAUAAUAAACGUUUGAACGCUGUAUUUGUAACAAUUCCAUUUCUCAUGAAAUGAUUCACUUAUAUUUGUUUACACAUUUAUUGUUGCUUUAUACUCGGCCUAAACACUCGGAGAAUAUGGACUAUCGCCUCCCAGUAUCGUCUUGAUUAUUAAUAUAUAUUUUCAAAACCAUAAUUACAAUUUUAAAACUACACGGAUCUUAUCGUCUGGAAGUAUUAUUGACACAAUACGUUUUCAAGAAAACACUGAUCAACUCCAUUUGAACUUAGAAAAUGAGGUACCUAAAUUUAAAUAUUAUUUUAAACGUUUGGUCUUUUAUGGCGUUCGAUCUAGAAUAUAAUAUAUUUUUCACGGAUUUAAAAUUACUUGACAAAUUUUAGAUUUUGGACUCGGUUUAACGAACGAUAAAUUAUUUGCGAUUUAGCUUGCGUGUCGGCUAUCGGUUUGUAACAUUAAAUAUCGUACAAAAUAUAUUAUAAUAUGAAUAUGGUAUGCAUUU